AUGCUAGAGCACUUUUUCAAUGUGCUCCACAACGAGAAGGCGACGACGCAUUCGUAUGUCAAUCCAUAUCAACUUUCCAUGCCAUUGACUGCGCCUACCAUGGUGACCAUGGGUAACGGGGAAUCAGGGUUCGAUUCCAUACAGGGACCCUGACAAAUGGCUGCCACAUGCAAGGAAGGCA
rnacentral:rRNA from 1 species